rnacentral:rRNA from 1 species
GAUGGACGCUGGCUACAGGCUUAACACAUGCAAGUCGAGGGGAAACGGCAUUGAGUGCUUGCACUGAAUGGACGUCGACCGGCGCACGGGUGAGUAACGCGUAUCCAACCUUCCCGUUACUGCGGGAUAACCUGCCGAAAGGCAGACUAAUACCGCAUGUUCUUCGAUGACGGCAUCAGAUUCGAAGCAAAGAUCCGUCGGUAACGGAGGGGGAUGCGUCUGAUUAGCUAGUUGGCGGGGCGACGGCCCACCAAGGCGACGAUCAGUAGGGGUUCUGAGAGGAAGGUCCCCCACAUUGGAACUGAGACACGGUCCAAACUCCUACGGGAGGCAGCAGUGAGGAAUAUUGGUCAAUGGGCGGAAGCCUGAACCAGCCAAGUAGCGUGCAGGAGGACGGCCCUACGGGUUGUAAACUGCUUUUAUGCGGGGAUAAAGUGAGGGACGCGUCCCUUUUUGCAGGUACCGCAUGAAUAAGGACCGGCUAAUUCCGUG